AGACCCGAAACCCGGUGAUCUAGCCAUGGGCAGGUUGAAGGUUGGGUAACACUAACUGGAGGACCGAACCGACUAAUGUUGAAAAAUUAGCGGAUGACCUGUGGCUGGGGGUGAAAGGCCAAUCAAACCGGGAGAUAGCUGGUUCUCCCCGAAAGCUAUUUAGGUAGCGCCUCGUGAAUUCAUCUCCGGGGGUAGAGCACUGUUUCGGCUAGGGGGCCAUCCCGGCUUACCAACCCGAUGCAAACUGCGAAUACCGGAGAAUGUUAUCACGGGAGACACACGGCGGGUGCUAACGUCCGUCGUGAAGAGGGAAACAACCCAGACCGCCAGCUAAGGUCCCAAAGUCAUGGUUAAGUGGGAAACGAUGUGGGAAGGCCCAGACAGCCAGGAUGUUGGCUUAGAAGCAGCCAUCAUUUAAAGAAAGCGUAAUAGCUCACUGGUCGAGUCGGCCUGCGCGGAAGAUGUAACGGGGCUAAACCAUGCACCGAAGCUGCGGCAGCGAACGUAUCACCCAAGACAACUUUACGGAGUUGACGAUUGACGGAGCGAAGCGACGUCAAAGCGUUCAUUAAAGUCGAGUUGGCUUAGGGAUACGUUCGUUGGGUAGGGGAGCGUUCUGUAAGCCUGUGAAGGUGUGUCGUGAGGCAUGCUGGAGGUAUCAGAAGUGCGAAUGCUGACAUAAGUAACGAUAAAGCGGGUGAAAAGCCCGCUCGCCGGAAGACCAAGGGUUCCUGUCCAACGUUAAUCGGGGCAGGGUGAGUCGACCCCUAAGGCGAGGCCGAAAGGCGUAGUCGAUGGGAAACGGGUUAAUAUUCCCGUACUUGGUGUUACUGCGAAGGGGGGACGGAGAAGGCUAUGUUGGCCGGGCGACGGUUGUCCCGGUUUAAGCGUGUAGGUGUGUGUUCCAGGUAAAUCCGGUUCACUUUAACACUGAGGCGUGAUGACGAGGCACUACGGUGCUGAAGCAACAAAUGCCCUGCUUCCAGGAAAAGCCUCUAAGCAUCAGGUAACAUCAAAUCGUACCCCAAACCGACACAGGUGGUCAGGUAGAGAAUACCAAGGCGCUUGAGAGAACUCGGGUGAAGGAACUAGGCAAAAUGGUGCCGUAACUUCGGGAGAAGGCACGCUGACACGUAGGUGAAGUGAUUUACUCAUGGAGCUGAAGUCAGUCGAAGAUACCAGCUGGCUGCAACUGUUUAUUAAAAACACAGCACUGUGCAAACACGAAAGUGGACGUAUACGGUGUGACGCCUGCCCGGUGCCGGAAGGUUAAUUGAUGGGGUCAGCGCAAGCGAAGCUCCUGAUCGAAGCCCCGGUAAACGGCGGCCGUAACUAUAACGGUCCUAAGGUAGCGAAAUUCCUUGUCGGGUAAGUUCCGACCUGCACGAAUGGCGUAAUGAUGGCCAGGCUGUCUCCACCCGAGACUCAGUGAAAUUGAACUCGCUGUGAAGAUGCAGUGUACCCGCGGCAAGACGGAAAGACCCCGUGAACCUUUACUAUAGCUUGACACUGAACAUUGAGCCUUGAUGUGUAGGAUAGGUGGGAGGCUUUGAAGUGUGGACGCCAGUCUGCAUGGAGCCGACCUUGAAAUACCACCCUUUAAUGUUUGAUGUUCUAACGUGGACCCGUAAUCCGGGUUGCGGACAGUGUCUGGUGGGUAGUUUGACUGGGGCGGUCUCCUCCUAAAGAGUAACGGAGGAGCACGAAGGUUGGCUAAUCCUGGUCGGACAUCAGGAGGUUAGUGCAAUGGCAUAAGCCAGCUUGACUGCGAGCGUGACGGCGCGAGCAGGUGCGAAAGCAGGUCAUAGUGAUCCGGUGGUUCUGAAUGGAAGGGCCAUCGCUCAACGGAUAAAAGGUACUCCGGGGAUAACAGGCUGAUACCGCCCAAGAGUUCAUAUCGACGGCGGUGUUUGGCACCUCGAUGUCGGCUCAUCACAUCCUGGGGCUGAAGUAGGUCCCAAGGGUAUGGCUGUUCGCCAUUUAAAGUGGUACGCGAGCUGGGUUUAGAACGUCGUGAGACAGUUCGGUCCCUAUCUGCCGUGGGCGCUGGAGAACUGAGGGGGGCUGCUCCUAGUACGAGAGGACCGGAGUGGACGCAUCACUGGUGUUCGGGUUGUCAUGCCAAUGGCACUGCCCGGUAGCUAAAUGCGGAAGAGAUAAGUGCUGAAAGCAUCUAAGCACGAAACUUGCCCCGAGAUGAGUUCUCCCUGAGACUUAGAGUCUCCUGAAGGAACGUUGAAGACGACGACGUUGAUAGGCCGGGUGUGUAAGCGCAGCGAUGCGUUGAGCUAACCGGUACUAAUGAACCGUGAGGCUUAACCUUACA
rnacentral:rRNA from 1 species